ensembl:ncRNA lncRNA:CR41443 long non-coding RNA:CR41443
AGUUGGAGAAAAAAUUGUUCGUAAAGUUUUCUAUGUGGAUGAAAAUCUCUGGAGGGAACUCAGUUGAGGAGGUGACAUGAACUCGUCGUCACGUGAAGGAACUACUUUCGCGUGGCCACUUUCCAAUCCGUAAAUGAUGCUCGAAUGAGGCAGCAGGCAUGGAAUAAGAGUUUGACAGCGAUAGUCCAUGAUGGGACUAUUCUGAGAUCCGGCUUCAGAUAAGCCUCUAUUUAUUUUUUCGCAAAUACCGUCCAGUCAUCGACCCACCAAGCGGAUUGCAUUGUUAACAAUGGCCAAAUUCUAUGAUCCACUUGUUCUAAUAACCCCAAUCUCUAUGGAGUGCUAAGGUGAAAUGCCAGGACAAUUCUUUCGUCAUGGGCGGAGUUGACUUUACAGUUAUCACGAUUCGUAAUGCAGCCUAGAGCUUCCGUUCAGUAACUGAACUUCAGUUCCAUCGAUUUUGCGAUGCUAUCAGCUUAUGGAUCGUGCUUAUUCUGUCAUAAGGCAGAGACCAGAAACAAGUAAGUGCUAUAUAUCCGUGUUCGUUUGCUUUUUCACGAAGACAGCAUUUGGAAGUUGUUCAGGAGAAGAUUCAUCAGUCUUCGAGGCAUUCUACGUACUAUUUGGAGUGAUAACGCUAGAAACUUUGUUAGUGCCAUGAGCGAGCCGAGCGGCGAGAGCUUUUCUUGAUAGCUAGACAAUGACAAAUGGAUAGGCACAGGCGUCCAGACUCACAAAAUUUACAAGACUAAUAAAAUUAUGCAAAAAACAUUAAAACCGGGUAUAAUUACAAUUGGAAGAUUCAAAUAGUUUCAUGCCCAAGACGUCGCCAAAUUUAUGGCCAGUCAAGACUUCCUGUUCCCGGAUUGGCUAUAAGUGACAUCAAGGCGGCCCAUUGAUCAGCGUAAUGAAGAGGCCGACGAUUCCCUAAUUGCUGUUGCCAGAAGUCCCACUACUGCCUAUAAAGGCUCAGAUGCAGUCACGCCCCAGAAGAUGAUGAUGCGGGUGAGCUCUUGGCUUUGGAAGGUCCUAAAGCUAGCAGUCAUAAUGUCAGUUCAUAGAUUACAACACCGGUCCCUCCCAAGUGUUGAUUAUGGAUCUAUGGGAAUAAUAUACAUAUAUGAAAUCCGUAAAAAACUUGCAACCAUUUGUCUUUUCAUGCCCUCGAGUGUCUGCUCAGAUGUGGACGUGGACGUAGAUUUGUGGCUGGAAAAAGGAUGCGAGAUUUCCUCCUCGUCUGACAAACUGACGGACUUGGAUGACUUAUCUGUUCGUCUAACUUCAGUUCCGUCUGAUGGCUCUGGCCGAAUCGACUGAACUCCUAAGACGGCUGGUACUGAGGCAAAAACUU